AUUACAAAAUUGGUAUGUGGCUGAAAAACUCAUAGAUUGUGUGUUGUCAUCAGCUUCUUCUCUUGCAUAUAUUGCGAGAUUGGAGUUAAAUCACAAUACUACAUUU